UGGUUUUGUGUUUGGAUGUGUGACAUGAAUUGGUUGUGGUGUUGGGUGGUUGGUGGUUGGGUGUAUCUGGUAUGGUGACUUUGUGAGAUUGGUCCUUGGGUUUGGGUGGGUUGACAUUGUUGUUGGGUUUGGUAAUGGUGUAGGGUUGGUUGUUGGGUGGGGGUUUGUUGUUGGGCGUGUGAUGACGAAGCUCGUUGGCGUGGGUCGAUCAAAU
rnacentral:lncRNA from 1 species